rnacentral:rRNA from 1 species
AGAGUUUGAUCCUGGCUCAGGAUGAACGCUGGCGGCGUGCCUAACACAUGCAAGUCGAACGAAGCACCUUACCUGAUUCUUCGGAUGAAAGUUUGGUGACUGAGUGGCGGACGGGUGAGUAACGCGUGGGUAACCUGCCCUGUACAGGGGGAUAACAGCUGGAAACGGCUGCUAAUACCGCAUAAGCGCACGAGGAGACAUCUCCUAGUGUGAAAAACUCCGGUGGUACAGGAUGGGCCCGCGUCUGAUUAGCUGGUUGGCAGGGUAACGGCCUACCAAGGCAACGAUCAGUAGCCGGUCUGAGAGGAUGAACGGCCACAUUGGAACUGAGACACGGUCCAAACUCCUACGGGAGGCAGCAGUGGGGAAUAUUGCACAAUGGGGGAAACCCUGAUGCAGCAACGCCGCGUGAGUGAAGAAGUAUUUCGGUAUGUAAAGCUCUAUCAGCAGGGAAGAUAAUGACGGUACCUGACUAAGAAGCUCCGGCUAAAUACGUGCCAGCAGCCGCGGUAAUACGUAUGGAGCAAGCGUUAUCCGGAUUUACUGGGUGUAAAGGGUGCGUAGGUGGCAGUGCAAGUCAGAUGUGAAAGGCCGGGGCUCAACCCCGGAGCUGCAUUUGAAACUGCUCGGCUAGAGUACAGGAGAGGCAGGCGGAAUUCCUAGUGUAGCGGUGAAAUGCGUAGAUAUUAGGAGGAACACCAGUGGCGAAGGCGGCCUGCUGGACUGUUACUGACACUGAGGCACGAAAGCGUGGGGAGCAAACAGGAUUAGAUACCCUGGUAGUCCACGCCGUAAA